UGUAAUUAUCAUUCAACUCGAAACACUAGAAGCAUUCAACUGAUUAACAUCAAAAACAACUUUCACAUAACUUUAUCACUUCUCUUAACCUCUUAUUUUUAUAUUAUUCCCGAUAAAAUAAUCAAAUUGAUGAAGUAAAUAGUUAAAUAGUGAUGCCAACAGCUGAACCUCCUUGCCGUCAUCGGAUACACCUUCUUCUAGGAGCUGGAAUGAAGGAGAGAAUAUCUUCACUAAAUAGCUCUAAACAGUGAUGCCAACACCUUCUCCCAUACUUGAUUGAGAAUAGUCGACGUCUUUAUAACUCCAUGAUUUGACUUGCCUUGCAAUUUCAUUCAUGAUUGGUCGGCAUCUAUUCAGAAGAUGUGGAUGGGCUCGCAUUAGAAUCACUUGAGGGAGCUAGAGUGGUUGAUUCUCAU
rnacentral:lncRNA from 1 species